GAUGAACGCUGGUGGCGUGCCUAACACAUGCAAGUCGAGCGAUUCUCUUCGGAGAAGAGCGGCGGACGGGUGAGUAACGCGUGGGUAACCUGCCCUGUACACACGGAUAACAUACCGAAAGGUAUGCUAAUACGAGAUAACAUGCUUUUAUCGCAUGGUAGAAGUAUCAAAGCUUUUGCGGUACAGGAUGGACCCGCGUCUGAUUAGCUAGUUGGUGAGGUAACGGCUCACCAAGGCGACGAUCAGUAGCCGACCUGAGAGGGUGAUCGGCCACAUUGGAACUGAGACACGGUCCAAACUCCUACGGGAGGCAGCAGUGGGGAAUAUUGCACAAUGGGCGAAAGCCUGAUGCAGCAACGCCGCGUGAGCGAUGAAGGCCUUCGGGUCGUAAAGCUCUGUACUCAAGGAAGAUAAUGACGGUACUUGAGGAGGAAGCCCCGGCUAACUACGUG
rnacentral:rRNA from 1 species